rnacentral:rRNA from 1 species
ACUGCUAUCGGAUUGGUACUAAGCCAUGUGAGUCAUUGUAGCAAUACAAGGCAUACGGCUCAGUAACACGUAGUCAAUCUACCCUAUGGACGGGGAUAACUUCGGGAAACUGAGGAUAAACCCCGAUAGAUCAUAAUGCCUGGAAUGGUUUAUGGUCCAAACGAUUCGUCGCCGUAGGAUGGGACUGCGGCCUAUCAGCUUGUUGGUGAGGUAAUGGCCCACCAAGGCGAUUACAGGUACGGGCUCUGAGAGGAGAAGCCCGGAGAUGGGUACUGAGACACGGACCCAGGCCCUAUGGGGCGCAGCAGGCGAGAAACCUUUGCAAUGUGCGCAAGCACGACAAGGUUAAUCCGAGUGAUUCCUGCUAAAGGAAUCUUUUGUUAGUCGUAAAACCACUAGUGAAUAAGGGGUGGGCAAGUCCUGGUGUCAGCCGCCGCGGUAAAACCAGCACCUCAAGUGGUCAGGAGGAUUAUUGGGCCUAAAGCAUCCGUAGCCUGUUCUGUAAGUUUCCGGUUAAAUCCAUUAGCUCAACUAAUGGGCUGCCGGAAAUACUGUAGAACUAGGAAGUGGGAGAGGUAGACGGUACUCGGUAGGAAGGGGUAAAAUCCUUUGAUCUAUUGAUGACCACCAGUGGCGAAGGCGGUCUACCAGAACACGUUCGACGGUGAGGGAUGAAAGCUGGGGGAGCAAACCGGAUUAGAUACCCGGGUAGUCCCAGCUGUAAACGAUGCAGACUCGGUGAUGCCCUGGCUUGUGGCCAGUGCAGUGCCGCAGGGAAGCCGUUAAGUUUGCCGCCUGGGAAGUACGUACGCAAGUAUGAAACUUAAAGGAAUUGGCGGGGGAGCACCACAAGGGGUGAAG